UGCAUGGAUAGCUCAGUUGGUUAGAGUAUGGUGCUGAUAACGCCAAGGACAGUCGCAUAUUCCUGCAU